rnacentral:rRNA from 1 species
AGUCGCCGCGGGAAUACGUAGGUGGCAAGCGUUGUCCGGAAUUAUUGGGCGUAAAGGGCUUGCAGGCGGUUUCUUAAGUCUGAUGUGAGAGCCCCCGGCUCAACCGGGGAGGGUCAUUGGAAACUGGGAAACUUGAGUGCAGAAGAGGAGAGUGGAAUUCCACGUGUAGCGGUGAAAUGCGUAGAGAUGUGGAGGAACACCAGUGGCGAAGGCGACUCUCUGGUCUGUAAUUGACGCUGAGGAGCGAAAGCGUGGGGAGCGAACAGGAUUAGAUACCCCCGUAGUCCCUGUCUCUUAUACA